CUGAUGGAAGCUAUGCCCCCGGAUCAGAAACGCUUGAUGCUCAAGCGGUCCUGGGAAACCACUAUUGCAAGUAACUGUCAGUGCCCUCUACUUUCCACUAGAUGGCAGACUUCCCCCAGCUCUGUGGACGGCAGAUACCCAGGAGAGGAGGACAGAGCUUCAGAUCUUUGCUUUCUCCCUUUCCCUUGACCUGGAAAAUCACUGGGCUGCCUCUGAGGCCAGAUUUAGAUUUCCUGCACAAGCCAUCAUUACCUUGUUUAGAGGAGUGAAAUUAGGGUCGACCUGUCCUGUCAUUCCAGGACAGAAGGUGACAAAUAAGGUCCUUUAUGUGUAGCACUGAGGAGAAG
rnacentral:lncRNA from 1 species